rnacentral:rRNA from 1 species
GACGAACGCUGGCGGCGUGCCUAAUACAUGCAAGUCGAACGAGUGGCGGACGGGUGAGUAACACGUGGGAACCUACCCCUCAGAGGGGGAUAACUACUGGAAACGGUAGCUAAUACCGCAUACCAUCAGAUGUGCCCAGAUGGGAUUAGCUCGUUGGUGGGGUAACGGCUAACCAGGGCGACGAUCCCUAGCUGGUCUGAGAGGAUGACCAGCCACACUGGAACUGAGACAGGGUCCAGACUCCUACGGGAGGCAGCGGUGGGGAAUAUUGCACAAUGGGGGCAAGCGUGAUGCAGCCAUGCCGCGUGGAUGAAGAAGGCCUUCGGGUUGUAAGGUACUUUCAGCGGGGAGGCGGUACCCGCAGAAGAAGCACCGGCUAACUCCGUGCCAGCAGCCGCGGUAAUAC